CGCAUAUUGCGCCCCCUGGUAUUCCGGAGGGCAUGUCUGUUCGAGCGUCAUUACACCAAUCAAGCCCGGCUUGCGGUUGGGGUUUCCGUUCGCGGCUUCCCCAAAAGACAGCAGCGGCGCCUGGAGGACCGUGAUGCAGCGAGCUUUUAGCACGCGUUGCGGCGCCCCUGGGCCCGUCCCAACUCCUAGGUUGACCUCGGAUCAGACAGGAUUACCCGCUGAACUUAA
rnacentral:misc_RNA from 1 species